GAUGAAACGCUGGCGGCGUGCUUAACACAUGCAAGUCGAGCGAAGCAGUUAAGUUGAUUUCUUCGGAUUGAUUCUUAACUGACUGAGCGGCGGACGGGUGAGUAACGCGUGGGUGACCUGCCCCAUACCGGGGGAUAACAGCUGGAAACGGCUGCUAAUACCGCAUAAGCGCACAGAGCUGCAUGGCUCGGUGUGAAAAACUCCGGUGGUAUGGGGAUGGGCCCGCGUCUGAUUAGGCAGUUGGCGGGGUAACGGCCCACCAAACCGACGAUCCAUAGCCGGCCUGAGAGGGUGAACGGCCACAUUGGGACUGAGACACGGCCCAGACUCCUACGGGAGGCAGCAGUGGGGAAUAUUGCACAAAUGGGGAAAACCCUGAUGCAGCGACGCCGCGUGAAGGAAGAAGUAAUCUCGGUAUGUAAACUUCUAUCAGCAGGGAGAAAAUGACGGUACCUGACUAAGAAGCCCCGGCUAAACUACGUGCCAGCAGCCGCGGU
rnacentral:rRNA from 1 species